GUUAUUCAUUCAUGUUGACAUUGCGUUGAUAAAUGAAACUACAGACUCGUAUUUACCUCUGCUAAAAUUGUACACAAAACCAUCCUUUUAUAGCUAAUAUUUUCACCAAAAAUUCCUGUUAUAGUUUAUUCAUUUUGUAGUUUAGUGCGAAUAUGGCGUGUAGGUUUUACCCGGGCCUGGAACCUCCAAAUAGAAUCAACCCCAGACACAAGGCUCAGACUGACAUCAACGUCUCCUUAGCCAAAGCUAAAUGGUUUCUGUAGGGGGGACGAAUUACCCUGUGAGACACAAUUUUCAUAUGUUGAAUAUUAUAAAGCCUAUUUCGAAAAACUAAAAAUUAAAUGGUUUCUGUAACAUUUUUGGAAA